GACCGGACGGUGCGGCUGGCGUGUGCCGCGACCGCGGGCACGGUGGAGACCGCCGCGGCUCCGGACUCCGGCUCCGAUUCCGGGUCCGUUCC
rnacentral:tRNA from 1 species